CCCCAGCGGCUGGCUAAGGCACCCAGCACACACUUCCUUGAACUCUGCUUCAUGUUCGUAGACCUCGGAUCGGCGGCAGAGGGGUGGAAGCCGCUGCCGGACGGAGCACAUGAAGCCCGUAGGAUACAUCUUCAGCAGCAGCAGCAGCAGCCUCUUGUCUUGAUGAGCCAUGGACGGAGCGGUCCUCCACAAGCAGAGGAGCGAGGUGUCCGAGCUGACAUGGGGCUACGACGAAGGAAUGGAGUGGGGCCCGCUCUUCCCGGACGCGAAUGGCGAGAACCAGUCGCCCAUCAACAUCAACUCCCGCGAGGCUACCUUUGACCCGAGCCUCCUGACCGCCCCGCUCUGCCUCUCCUACCUGACGUGUCGCGAGUGCGAGGUGCUCAACGAUGGACACUCCCUGCACAUCCACAUCCGCUCCAAGUCCGUGACGACAGGGGGACCCUUUCCCAUUGGCCAGGAGUUUGAACUGUCCCACGUUUGCUUCCACUGGGGUAAAGAAGACCAGCGAGGCUCCGAGCACACCGUGAACUUCAAAGCCUUCCCCAUGGAGUGCCACCUUAUUCACUGGAAUGCCACUUUGUACAAAAACAUAGAGGACGCAAUGGGCAAAGAAAAUGGGAUUGCAAUCAUCGCUUUGUUUGUCCAGAUAGGUCGAGAGCACCUGGGACUCAAAGGGUUGACCGACAUUCUUCAGGAAAUCCAAUACAAGGGAAAAGCAAAGACAAUACCUUCAUUCAAUCCAAAUACUCUAUUACCAGACCCCCUGCUGCGCGACUACUGGGUGUACGAAGGUUCCCUGACGACGCCUCCGUGUUGCGAGCACGUGCUGUGGCUUCUCUUUCGAUACCCGCUCACCCUCUCCCACGCCCAGAUCGAGGAGUUUCGGAGGCUGCGCACGCACAGCAAGGGAGUGGCGCCUUCCGACGGCUGCGACGGUCAACUUGGCGACAACUUCAGACCGACUCAGCAGCUCAACGACCGUGUCAUCCGCGCUUCCUUCCCCUGACUGACGCACGCUCACACUUUUAUCAGCCACGGCCGCUUACGAGAUCCACCCCCUAACCCGAUUUACGAAAAGAAAACAUCAGUGGCGUUCCAGCCUGCUGGUCUUCUAUAACAAGCGUGCAUAUACACGUUUCUGUAUAUACAUACCAAACAUAGCAUACGUAUAUGUUGAUAUGCUCUGCAUACUAUUUUCUCAUGGAUGAUGAAUUGUACAGUGUAUGUUAAAAACAGCUCUGAUAUAUCGUGUACAGCUGUUUAAAGAUCACGAAUCGGAUUAAAGGCGGUCACCAAGGUAACAUCGGAUAAUGAACACAUAACCAGAAGAGGCUACAAGAAGCAUUUCCAGGAGGGAGACGUAAAGAUGUCCCUUGGCGUCUCGCACAUUUGUUUCGUGUAAAAGUUCUCAUUGUAACUGAUGUAAUAAAAAAAAACCCAAAUGGUUUUAAAUUUGGUCUCGAGAAAUUGCAUGGCUCAUUUUGCGAAUAAAAACGUCCAAUUUGUAAUGUGCUAUAAGGAAUCGGUUUUAUGCAUUUGCAAUAAAUACACUGCCGGCCAUUAAACUUCACAACAUAUUUAUUGCUGCGUUGUGCAAUUUGUCCAAAACAAUGUUUGGUGUUCGUUACGAUAUCCCAAAUCCUUUAUUCUGUGUUCAAUGUACGAGAAAUAUGAGCACGUGUGACUCUGUUUCUGCCGGUGCCCAAACGUUGCCAAUAUGGCAUUCAUUAAAAUAAUACCUGCCAUGAAAUAUCAAAGCUAUAUUUAUAAAGACUAUAUAUUCUUCAAAAAUAUGUACUCAACUCUGUAAUGGGGGGGGGGGGGGGGGGGGGGUGAGGCAUAAGCAUGCUUGAGCAACAAAGUUAAUUAAAUUUGAUUUACCGUGGCAGGUACGUGAGCAGGGUGUUUCCUGCAAUGCGGUUUUUGGCAGCAAAGCCAGUGGCGCCUUUGCUUGAGUACCAGUGCCCGUACUGUAUGUUCAUUAAAAUGUUACAUCAAUCAGG